UACGUAGGGUGCGAGCGUUGUCCGGAAUUACUGGGCGUAAAGCGUGCGCAGGCGGUUUUGUAAGCCAGAUGUGAAAUCCCCGGGCUCAACCUGGGAAUGGCAUUUGGGACUGCAAGGCUGGAGUUUGGCAGAGGAGACUGGAAUUCCCGGUGUAGCAGUGAAAUGCGUAGAUAUCGGGAGGAAUACCGAUGGCGAAGGCAGGUCUCUGGGCUAUAACUGACGCUCAUGCACGAAAGCGUGGGGAGCAAACAGG
rnacentral:rRNA from 1 species